rnacentral:lncRNA from 1 species
AGCAUCUCUGUGAAGCGUGUGCAGGGGACAGCAGACAUCAGAGCUCUCCUGUAAAUCACCUCCGCAAAGGCUCUUUGUGGUCGAUUCACUGAUGACUCAUUUAUAAUCUGGUUUCAACAUUGUGAGUCAAAAUGCACCACUUUCAUUAAAAAUAACAUUCACUGGGGUCUAACGGCUUUCUUUUUUCUGUUUUUUACUGUACUGUGUGGUUUCUGGAUGGGAAGCUGUCAGAUGGCAGGCGAGGUGUUCCGAGGGACUUGAGCAUAAUCGUGCAACGACUCAGGUGUGGAUUGAACAAAUAGUCCCGAAUACCUGCUGUGGGUCCUGCAGACUUCUGGGCCAUGGAAGUGUGUGGGUAGUCGGCGUGGGUGUGUGUGGGGGUGUGUGCAAGUAUCAGGAUCACCUGGGAUGCUUGUUAAAAAUACAGAUUCCUGGGCUUCACCCCAUAUCUCUGAGGGUGGGGCCUUGUCAAAUUCCUCAGGAGCUUUUUAGGUACAAUAGAGUCAAGAGCCUUGACUCUGGGUGAGAGAGAAUGGGAACUCCCUUCAAGCAGACCCUCCCUACAAACGGAGCAACCAGAGGAGAGGCAGGUCGACUGCAAGGCUGAGAGGGGUGGAUGGGGGAGGUGAGAGAGGAAAAGGCAGGGGCGGGGGAACACCCGAGGUGGAGCGGGCCAACAGAGUCCCCAUGGGAGAGUUGACUAAAAGCCCCGGCUUGAUGCAAGGAACCCACAGUCUUUCUGGUUUGGGGACCAAAUCUUGGGCAUCCCCUACUUCCUUGGUUAAAAAAAUUAAACAUACAGAAACGGUUUAGUGGGCAUUCUGCAGGGUAAAAAGCCCCUGCUGCAUGGCCAUGUUUUUAUAUUUUAUGUUCUUUAGCAAUGUUAGAAACUUCACUGGGAAAAGCACUUUAAAAAGAUAUAGUUGAGGGGAAUGGGACGUGGGGAGUUAUUGUUGAAUGGGUGCAGAGUUUCAAUUUUACAAGAUGAAAGUGCCUGGAGAUGGUUAGCGGCGAUGGCUGUAUAGCAGUGGGAAUGCAUGUCACACCACUGAACAACGUGCUUAAAAAUGGUUACGAUGGAGGCCAGGCACGGUGGCUGACACGUGUAAUCCCAGCACUUUGGGUGGCGGAGGCGGGCUGAUCACUUGAGGUCAGGAGUUUUGAGACCAGUCUGGCUAACAUGGUGAAACCCUGUCUCUACUAAAAAUACAAAAAUUAGCCAGGCAUGGUGGCGGGCACCUGUAAUCCCAGCUACUCGGGAGGCUGAGGCAGGAGAAUCACUUGAAACCCAGAGACGGAGUUUGCAGUGAGCUGAGAUCGCACCACUGAACUCCAGCCUGGGUGACAGAGUGAGACGCUGUCUCAAAAAAAAAAGGUUAAGAUGGUAAAUUUUCUGUUAUGUGUAUUUUACUUACUACAAUUUUUAAAAAAUUGGAAAAAGAAAGAUAUGGUUGAGUCUGACUUGGAUGAAAGUCUACAGGCCUCCUGCUGAUGGUCUCAGCGGCUCCUGGGAAACUACCGUUUGUUUCAGCCAUCUGUAACUUGAUUUGUUGUUCAGAAGUUUGCCAAGACUUCUCCAUGCAAAGCCAGGUGUAAGUUUAACCUGAGCCACGUGGGUCCCCCCACCUUUCCGCCUCCGAUGGAUCUUCUCUCCAAGGGCUCCGGUGCUCAGGCCCUCAUAGCAUGGGAAAUCAGAAGGGAUGUUUGGGUGGGAGGCUUGGCAUGGAGGGUGGACAUUUUGCUACAGAUGGCCUUGCCCUCACGGAAGGCCAUUGUUAUUCCGCGUCUGCCCCCUGGCCGGGUCCAGCCACCUGAGCCUUCCUGAGCUCCCAGCUCUCAGUUGCAGCCAGCGCCCAACGCCUUCCUGCGGCACCUCCACAGACCUCGCCUCUUUGCCCUGACUCCUCUCAUUCUCUGUUUUCCAGACUAUCCCCAAGCCCUGCCUGUGGCUGCCUCCUCCCUCCAUAGCAUCCCUGCUCUGCCAUGGCUCCCCUAUUUGGGACAAGACCUUUGUGUGGGCCUCAAGAUGUAGGCAGGUCUCUGCUCAGUGGCCCAGCUUUUGGUCGACACCUGCAAAUGUGUCUAAAACUCAUCUCAACCUCUUCCCCAACACCAGUCUUCCCUUUGAUCCCACCCUCCAUCUGCUCUUCUCUCAGCAUUCCUGAGAGUUUCUGCAAGUUGCCCCAGCCAGAAACCAGGGUGCCAGGCAUCACUCUUCCUGCCCGGUUCCCAGCUCCCACCAGCAGUGCCUCCUUGGCAGCUCUAGAAUCCCCACUGCCUCUGGUCUAGUUCAUGCCUCCAUCACUUCUUCUCUGGACCACUGCAGUAGUCUCCUAAGUGACUGUAGCCAUCUGAAUAGUGGCCCCAAAGAUAUCAAGUGCCAAUCGCCGGAAAACAGUGAAUGUUACGCUACGUGGGAAAGUUUUUGCCAAUAUGAUUAAGUUAAGGAAUUCAAAAAAAAUUAUAAAAUUGUGAUAAAUAUAUAACAUAGACUUGACCAGUUUAUUCAUCUAAGUGCAGAGUUCAGUGGCAUUAAGUAUAUUCCUAUGUUGUGUGACCAUCACCACCGUCCAUCUCUAGAGCUCUUUUUGUCUUGCAGAACUGAAACUUUGUACCCAUUAAUAACUUCUAUUUCUCUCUCUCCUCAGCCCCUGGCAACGACUCUUCCACUUUCUCUCUCUAUGCAUUUGAGUACUCUAGAUACCUCAUAUUAGGUGGAAUGAGGCCCGGCACAGUGGCUCACUCCUGUAAUCUCAGUACUUUGGGAGGCUGCGGCGGGAGGAUCAUUUGAGCCCACGAGUUCGAGACCAGCCUGGGCAGCUAGUCAGACUUUGUCUCUACCAAAGAUUUAAAAAUUAGCCAGGUGAUAUGGUUUGGCUGUGUCCCCACCCAAAUUUCACCUCGAAUUGUAACUCCCACAAUUCCUAAGUGUCAUGUGAGGAACCCGGUGGGAAGUAAUUGAAUCAUGGAGGCAGGUCUUUUCCAUGCUGUUCUUGGGAUAGUGAGUAAGUCUCACGACAUCUGAUGGUUUUAAACAUGGGAGUUUCCCUGAACAGAUUCUCUCUUUGCCUGCCACCAUCCACGUAAGAUGUGACUUGCUCCUCUUUGCCUUCUGCUAUGAUUGUGAAGCCUCUCCAGCCUUGUGGAACUGUGAGUCCAUUAAACCUCUUUCUUUUGUAAAUUGCCCAGUCUCAGGUAUGUCUUUAUUGGCAGUGUGAAAACGGACUAAUAUACCAGGUGUGGUGGUGCACACCUGUGGUCCCAGCUACUGGGGAGGCUGACGUGGGAGAAUCACUUGAGCCCAGGAGUCAGAGGCUGCAAUGAGCUAGGAUCACACCAUUGUGCUCCAGCCUGGGUGACAGAACAAGACCCUGUCUCAAAAAUAAAAUGAAAUACAAAGGUAGACUCAUAUAGUCUUUGCCCUUUUGUGACUGGCUUAUUUCUGUAGUGUAUGAGAGAAUUUCCUUCCUUUUGAAGGCUGAAUCAUAUGCCAUUGUGUGUAUAUAGCACAUUUGUUUAUUCAUCCUUUGAUGGACAUUGCAUUACUUUCACUUUGUAGCUAUUGUGAAUAGUGCUGCUGUGAACAUGGGUGUACACAUAUCUCCUUAGAUUCUGCUUUCAGUUCUUUGGGGCCUAUACCCAGGAGAGGAAUUGCUGGACCAUAUGGUAAUUCUAUGUUUAAUUUUUUUGGGAAACUGUCAUACUGUUUUACAUAGUGACUGUACCUUCUUACAUUCCCACCAACAGUGUACAAGGGUUUAAAUGAAGAUUUUGAGAUGAGAAAAUUAUCCUGGAUUAUUCAGGUGGGUCCUAAAUACCAUCACAAGUGUCCUUACAAGGAAGAGGCAGCAGGAGAUGGGACACACAGUAAAGGUGAUAAUGAAGAUGGAGGUGGAGAUUGGAGGGAUGCGGCCACAAGCCAAUGAAUGCCUGCAGCUACCAGAAGCCACAGAGAGCUCCGCUAGAGCCUCUGGAGGGAGCUUGGCCCUGUCAACACCUUGAUUUGAACCCAGUGAAACAAAUUUCCAACUUCUGUCCUCCUGGACUGUGAAGUAAUAAAUUUCUGUUUUUUUAAGCUACCAAGUUUGUAGUAAUUUGUGACAGCAGCCACAUGGAACUAAUACACAGAUGUCCCAACAUCCACACCGGCCUCACACUCCUCCAACUCAAGGUGCAGUUCCGUUGUUCAUUUAGAAUUGCAAAUGGCCUUAGGGUGCUCCUUUGUUUGAGUACUUUCAAAUGUUUCCCACUGUCCCUGGCAUGGUGACCGGCUGCUCCUAAACAGAUGCUAAGACCCUCAGUGCCUGGGGACUGCCUGCCUCAGCACAGUCCCCCUGGUGCUCCGUGCUUUAGUGCUACUAUUUUCUCUUUGUUCCUUAAAGACACCAUGUCCUCUCUUGGAUCUCUUCUAGACCCCACAGUGCUGUUCUCUGAGUAGCUGCACCUCUGUAUUCUUAUUCCCUAAUCUCCCCUCUAAGGUUUGGCUUUUUUAUUUUAUUUUAUUUUAUUUCAUUUUUUCAGGAAUAACUCUGAAUUUUCCAUAGGAGCUCAGAUCUCAGCUGGACUGUGAGUGUCCCACUUCUGGGGACACUCUCCAUGCCCUUCAGAUGACUCUGGACAUGGGUUGUUGCAAUGCCCCAUGUCCCCUUAGCUCCUGGUGCCAUCCAUCAUCAUGUGCCUCCUGCUUUGUGGCAGGUGCUUGUCUGCUUGUCUGUCUUUCCUGCUGGACUGGGAGCCUCCUGCAGGCAGCAACUGCUGUGUUCACCUCUCAAUCCCCUGUGUCUAGCACAGAGCCUGGCCCAUGGUGUGCACGGACGAAUAGUUACUGGCUGAAUGACUGAGCAGAUGUGGGAAGGGAAGGAAGGGAAAUCUCACUCCAAGACAAACAAGGAAGAUGUCAGAAGCCACACUAUAUAUCCUCCAAGGGAGGCGAUUUUUUCUAUCAACUAAGAAGCACACAACACCAUGCUGGGUGCCAGGAGUUGGCAGCACUGCUGGAGGAGGUUCAAGAUACUUUUGGAGCCAAAUAAACUACCUGAGCAAUGCUCGUCAUUUGCCAAAGGAUUGCCUUAGAGAUGUCACACGGAUGUUACAGGUCAUCUUGCCCUUGCUUUGCAUCUAGGCUUAAUACAUUAUCACCCACCAAUGCCCCCACCCCCAAGCAACCCAACAUCUGUCUCUCUCUCUCACACACACACACAGACAAACACACACACCAC